rnacentral:rRNA from 1 species
AAUAUUGCGCAAUGGAGGGAACUCUGACGCAGCGACGCCGCGUGAGCGAUGAAGGUCUUCGGAUCGUAAAGCUCUUUCCGUGGGGAGGAAGGUCUUCGGGUUUGACGGUACCUAAGGAGGAGUCACCGGCUAACUACGUGCCGGCAGCCGCGGUAAUACGUAGGGGGCGAGCGUUGUCCGGAAUUACUGGGCGUAAAGUGUGCGUAGGCGGCCAAUUAAGUCAGAUGUGAAAUACCCGGGCUCAACCAUGGGAGUGCAUAUGAAACUGGUUGGCUUGAGUGCAGGAGAGGAAAGUGGAAUUCCUAGUGUAGCGGUGAAAUGCGUAGAGAUUAGGAGGAACACCAGUGGCGAAGGCGACUUUCUGGACUGUAACUGACGCUGAGGCACGAAAGCGUGGGUAGCGAAC